UGGGGAAUAUUGCACAAUGGGCGCAAGCCUGAUGCAGCCAUGCCGCGUGUAUGAAGAAGGCCUUCGGGUUGUAAAGUACUUUCAGCGGGGAGGAAGGUGUUGAGGCUAAUAACCUCAGCAAUUGACGUUACCCGCAGAAGAAGCACCGGCUAACUCCGUGCCAGCAGCCGCGGUAAUACGGAGGGUGCAAGCGUUAAUCGGAAUUACUGGGCGUAAAGCGCACGCAGGCGGUCUGUCAAGUCGGAUGUGAAAUCCCCGGGCUCAACCUGGGAACUGCAUUCGAAACUGGCAGGCUAGAGUCUUGGAGAGGGGGGUAGAAUUCCAGGUGUAGCGGUGAAAUGCGUAGAGAUCUGGAGGAAUACCGGUGGCGAAGGCGGCCCCCUGGACAAAGACUGACGCUCAGGUGCGAAAGCGUGGGGAGCAAACA
rnacentral:rRNA from 1 species